UUUCCGUAGGUGAACCUGCGGAAGGAUCAUUACUGAGUACCGGGUCUCUCAGGCCCUUACUCCCACCCUUUGUGUACCUUACCAAAUUUCAGUUGCUUUGGUGGGACUCUAACAGCCCCCCCCCUCGGGGGGGUAGAGCCCACCAUUGGAACUUUUUUAAACUCUUGAUAAUUGAGUUGUCUGAGAACAAAAACAAAUAAAUUAAAACUUUCAACAACGGAUCUCUUGGUUCUGGCAUCGAUGAAGAACGCAGC
rnacentral:misc_RNA from 1 species